UAACAACCUGGAAACAAGAUGCUAAUACCGGAUAACAACAGAUGAUGCCUAUCAACUGUUUAAAAGAUGGUUCUGCUAUCACUCUUGGAUGGACCUGCGGUGCAUUAGCUAGUUGGUAGGGUAACGGCCUACCAAGGCGAUGAUGCAUAGCCGAGUUGAGAGACUGAUCGGCCACAUUGGGACUGAGACACGGCCCAAACUCCUACGGGAGGCAGCAGGA
rnacentral:rRNA from 1 species